GAUGAACGCUGGCGGCGUGCCUAAUACAUGCAAGUCGAGCGAACAGACGAGGAGCUUGCUCCUCUGACGUUAGCGGCGGACGGGUGAGUAACACGUGGAUAACCUACCUAUAAGACUGGGAUAACUUCGGGAAACCGGAGCUAAUACCGGAUAAUAUAUUGAACCGCAUGGUUCAAUAGUGAAAGACGGUUUUGCUGUCACUUAUAGAUGGAUCCGCGCCGCAUUAGCUAGUUGGUAAGGUAACGGCCUACCAAGGCAACGAUGCGUAGCCGACCUGAGAGGGUGAUCGGCCACACUGGAACUGAGACACGGUCCAGACUCCUACGGGAGGCAGCAGUAGGGAAUCUGCCGCAAUGGGCGAAAGCCUGACGGAGCAACGCCGCGUGAGUGAUGAAGGUCUUCGGAUCGUAAAACUCUGUUAUUAGGGAAGAACAAAUGUGUAAGUAACUAUGCACGUCUUGACGGUACCUAAUCAGAAAGCCACGGCUAACUACGUG
rnacentral:rRNA from 1 species